GACGAACGCUGGCGGCGUGCUUAACACAUGCAAGUCGAACGGAAAGGCCCUGCUUUUGUGGGGUGCUCGAGUGGCGAACGGGUGAGUAACACGUGAGUAACCUGCCCUUGACUUUGGGAUAACUUCAGGAAACUGGGGCUAAUACCGGAUAGGAGCUCCUGCUGCAUGGUGGGGGUUGGAAAGUUUCGGCGGUUGGGGAUGGACUCGCGGCUUAUCAGCUUGUUGGUGGGGUAGUGGCUUACCAAGGCUUUGACGGGUAGCCGGCCUGAGAGGGUGACCGGCCACAUUGGGACUGAGAUACGGCCCAGACUCCUACGGGAGGCAGAAGUGGGGAAUAUUGCACAAUGGGCGGAAGCCUGAUGCAGCAACGCCGCGUGCGGGAUGACGGCCUUCGGGUUGUAAACCGCUUUCGCCUGUGAUGAAGCGUGAGUGACGGUAAUGGGUAAAGAAGAACCGGCUAACUACGUG
rnacentral:rRNA from 1 species